rnacentral:rRNA from 1 species
GCAAAUCCCUAAAAGACCAUCUCAUUCGGAUUGCAGGCUGCAACUCGCCUGCAUGAAGCUGGAAUUGCUAGUAAUCGCGGAUCAGCAUGCCGCGGUGAAUACGUUCCCGGGCCUUGUACACACCGCCCGUCACACCAUGAGAGUCGGGAACACCCGAAGUCCGUAGUCUAACCCGCAAGGGAGGGCGCGGCCGAAGGUGGGUCCGGUAAUUGGGGUGAAGUCGUAACAAGGUAUC